rnacentral:rRNA from 1 species
UAAACAGUUGAUCGACUCGACGUCCCGGAACAGUUUCCGCCCCAUCAGCUUCGAUGGUUGGGUAUUGGCCUACCAUUGCAACAACGGGUAACGAGGAAUUAGGGUUUGAUUUCGGAGAGGGAGCCUGAGAAACGGCUACCACAUCUACGGAUGGCAGCAGGCGCGCAAAUUACCCAAUGCAGACACUGUGAGGUAGUGACGAGAAAUAAUAAAGCGGGACUUCUGUUUCGCUAUUAUAAUGAGGAAUAACCAAAGGUCAUUCCGAUUAGCAACUGAUGGGAAAGUCUGGUGCCAGCAGCCGCGGUAAUACCAGCGUCAGUAGCAUAUAUUAAAAUUGUUGCAGUUAAAACGUCCGUAGUCUGUACGUCGUCCCAAACUUGAUUACGUCCCUGCUCUUUGUACACACCGCCCGUCGCUCCUACCGAUCGAGUGUUUAGGUGAAUUUGAUGGACGUAAGGAAGUCAAAUAAACCUGAGCACUAGAGAAGAGAAGUCGACAUC